rnacentral:lncRNA from 1 species
UAAUAUACUAGAUUUCAAAAAGACUUUCUAGCUCCUACUUCCUACAAAGCUCAGUGGUAAUCAUCAGAAAAGCUCCAUAGAAGGUGGAUAGAUUGAAACUUGGAAGCUUAAAACUUGGAUAAAAGGUUGGAACUCGUGGGAAGAAAAGUAAGUAUGAUUCGUAGCUGCUGGAUGUAUAUAGGAUGAAAAUCGUUUGCCGAUGGAGAUAUAUUUUAAGUACUUCUCGUAAAUAGGCUGGAGCUACUAGGUGUUAUAUAAGAGGAUCUUGCAAAUCCCUAGAUACCCGGAGUCUGUUAUUUCAGUUUCUUGUAUUUUAUUUUAUGAUCCGCCUGUGGAUCUUAUUACAACCAAGUCUGUAUAUUCUUUCAUUCGGACACUCAGACAUUAUGGUUUGUAAUAGUUUAUUC